rnacentral:sRNA from 1 species
CAGUCCAGUAUGCGAUGAAUAUUUUGUUUUAAAUAACUACAAAUUGUGAAACAUGAAAGUCUUCACAUUUCUAUGACCUUAUUUUUGUUUGACAUUAGAUGUUUUAAAAUGAAUUUCAUUCCAGAAGCAACCAAUGCAAUGACGAGAUCAAGUACUGGUCUUCACAGGUUUUAUAUUCCUCGAGACAUGUGGUCCAAUGGUUGUAAAACAAGACUGGAUGUCCGCACAAGUCCAACCCAUCCUGACUGUCAGAGAGUGACAACCACUGCCCUCAACACUAGGACAGGAGAGAUAGAGACUUUGAUGGACCAGACGAUUUGUUCUGACAGACUCAGGACAACUAUCCAGAUAGAUUGAUCCGAUGUGAUCAUACAGGGAUGCGUAGUACAUUUUAGAGUUCCCUUUCAAUAAAUCUGUUCAAUCAUUAA